ACGGACCAAAGUGGGGGACCUUCGGGCCUCAUGCCAUCAGAUGUGCCCAGAUGGGAUUAGCUAGUAGGUGGGGUAAUGGCUCACCUAGGCGACGAUCCCUAGCUGGUCUGAGAGGAUGACCAGCCACACUGGAACUGAGACACGGUCCAGACUCCUACGGGAGGCAGCAGUGGGGAAUAUUGCACAAUGGGCGCAAGCCUGAUGCAGCCAUGCCGCGUGUGUGAAGAAGGCCUUCGGGUUGUAAAGCACCUUCGGCGAGGAGGAAGGGUAGUGUGUUAAUAGCACAUUGCAUUGACGUUACUCGCAGAAGAAGCACCGGCUAACUCCGUGCCAGCAGCCGCGGUAAUACGGAGAGUGCAAGCGUUAAUCGGAAUUACUGGGCGUAAAGCGCACGCAGGCGGUUUGUUAAGUCAGAUGUGAAAUCCCCGCGCUUAACGUGGGAACUGCAUCUGAAACUGGCAAGCUAGAGUCUUGUAGAGGGGGGUAGAAUUCCAGGUGUAGCGGUGAAAUGCGUAGAGAUCUGGAGGAAUACCGGUG
rnacentral:rRNA from 1 species